UACUUGCCCCCUCUCAGGACUGAUGGGAAGCCCCGGGUGCUGCUGAUGUCAGAGUUGUUCUUGUAUUUCCAGGAGAAAGUGAUGGAGUCGGGAAGGAAGUCCUGUGCGAGGCAGCCAACGGCCACGCUGCUCGUAUCCGACGGGGAAUUCUCACAGGAGACGAGGGGGAAAAGGGUUGGGGCGGAUGCACUCCUGAAGAGACGGUGACCAUUGUCCCUUGGCCCCAGAUAUCAAAAGCAUCACACAGGGACACAGUCCCUGUUCUCCCCUCAUUGUGUCUCUGGCACAGUAAUACACGGCCGUGUCCGCGGCGGUCACAGAGCUCAGCUUCAGGGAGAACUGGUUCUUGGACCUGUCUACUGAUAUGGUGACUCGACUCUUGAGGGACGGGUUGUAGUAGGUGCUCCCACUAUGAUAGAUGUACCCAAUCCACUCCAGGCCCUUCCCUGGUGGCUGCCGGAUCCAGCUCCAGGAGUAACCACCACUGCUGAUGGAGCCACCAGAGACAGCGCAGGUGAGGGACAGGGUCUGUGAAGGCUUCACCAGUCCUGAGCCGGACUCCUGCAGCUGCAGCUGGG
rnacentral:lncRNA from 1 species